AUUGAACGCUGGCGGCAGGCUUAACACAUGCAAGUCGAGCGGAGAGAGGUAGCUUGCUACUGAUCUUAGCGGCGGACGGGUGAGUAAUGCUUAGGAAUCUGCCUAUUAGUGGGGGACAACAUUUCGAAAGGAAUGCUAAUACCGCAUACGUCCUACGGGAGAAAGCAGGGGAUCUUCGGACCUUGCGCUAAUAGAUGAGCCUAAGUCGGAUUAGCUAGUUGGUGGGGUAAAGGCCUACCAAGGCGACGAUCUGUAGCGGGUCUGAGAGGAUGAUCCGCCACACUGGGACUGAGACACGGCCCAGACUCCUACGGGAGGCAGCAGUGGGGAAUAUUGGACAAUGGGCGGAAGCCUGAUCCAGCCAUGCCGCGUGUGUGAAGAAGGCCUUAUGGUUGUAAAGCACUUUAAGCGAGGAGGAGGCUACUUUAGUUAAUACCUAGAGAUAGUGGACGUUACUCGCAGAAUAAGCACCGGCUAACUCUGUGCCAGCCGCCGCGGUAAGAC
rnacentral:rRNA from 1 species